AGUUCUUGAUCAUCUACCACUAGUUUAUCAAUAUGGUUGAACCUCUUAUGAGCAUUUGCCAUUCUCUGAAAGAACUUUGUAUUUUUGUCCCCUUGUUUUAUCCACAGAGUUCUAGAUCUCUGUCUCCAAGCUAUCUCUUCCUUUUUUGCGUACUCUUCAAACUCUUUUACCACACUUGCUUUUUGAAGAGUCUCUUCUUCAGUUAAAUGCCUGGACUGUUGAAUGUUGUCAAACUCAUGAACUCUGUUGAGCAUUUCCUUCUUUCUUUUUCCAGGUUCCCAUAGGUGCUUACACUCCAAUCUUUCAGUUUAGUCUUCAUAGCUUUCAGCUAGGAAGCUAGGAUGAAAUCAGGCCUCCCUUUGAAUUCAAAAGAUGUCCACCAAUCUUUAAUUCUUUCAUAAAAACCCUCGGUCUCCAACCACCAUCCUUCAAAUUUGAAAUAUGAUUUUGUAUGACUCCAACGACCACUUUUAAGUGCAAUUGGUGCAUGGUCGGAACAAACUCUAGGUAGUAGUUCUUGCUUCACAUUGCAGAAACUCUCCCCCCAUUUAGAGGAGUACAUAAUUCUGUCUAUCCUCGAAACAACUUCCAGGUUGGAUCCCCUGGCCCACGUGUAGUUCCCCCCUUCAAGUGGUGGAUCAAUUAGCUCCAUGUCCUCAAUAACAUCAGAAAAAUCAUUCAUGUACACAGAGGUUCUGGAGCAGUUCCUCUUUUCUGAAGCAUAUCUAACAAUAUUGAAAUCACCCCCAAGAACCCAAGGCCCUGUAAAUAAACUCCUGACAGCCUCUAUCUCCCACCACACCUCCUGUCUUUCUAAGUUGCAAG
rnacentral:lncRNA from 1 species